rnacentral:rRNA from 1 species
UACAGAGGUCUCAAGCGUUGUUCGGAAUCACUGGGCGUAAAGGGUGCGUAGGCGGCGAGGAAAGUCAGAUGUGAAAUCCGAAGGCUCAACCUUCGAAUAGCAUCCGAUACUUCCCUGCUCGAGAUUUGUAGAGGAGUCUGGAACUCUCGGUGUAGCAGUGAAAUGCGUGGAUAUCGAGAAGAACGCUCGUAGCGAAGGCGAGGCUCUGGGCAAAUUCUGACGCUGAGGCACGAAGGCUAGGGGAGCAAACGGG